rnacentral:lncRNA from 1 species
GCUCCAUCAGCUGCUCCAUCAGCCGCUCCUCCAGUUGCUCCAUCAGUUGCUCCAUCAGUUGCUCCAUCAGCAGUUCCAUCAGCAGCUCCGUCAUUGGGCUGCUGUCAUUUGCGGGAGCAGACGGGUUCAACAGACAUCCUAAGAUUAAAACAGGAACGGGAUGUGGACCUUAUUUGUUCUUUGUAUCCUGGGACUAAACAUCUGUCAGACUACUGGAGUCGACAAUUCAACACAAAUGUAUUAUUUCAAAAUGGUCGUAGAGAAAAGCGUCAUCGCAAACAUAACCGCGAGACUGAAAACUGUUGUGAGCAGCGGCAACCUGAAGGUCGAUGACCUCAAAAUGACAACAAUCUGUCAGAGCGUGCCGGACGGCAUCCGGUGCAGCUGCCUGUCGGACUUCAGAUGGAGCGACACAGUUUGUCUGGAAACAGAUCAGAAAUGUUGCGGCGACAUGAACUGCACCUUCACCGACAAGCUUGCUCGCAGGUGUAUUUCAAACGAAACAGUUGCUGUCAGCGGAUCCAUUACUUUGAGAGGGAUGGAUCAUUAUGAUUGUCUGAAAGAAAACACCACUGAGAUAUUUAAGCAGUGUAAUAAUAAUUUGUUGCAAGAGAUGAAAAGAGUGUACAGCACUUUGGCCGGAUUUGACAUCUUAACAAUUAACCAAUACAGG